rnacentral:rRNA from 1 species
GUGGGGAAUUUUGGACAAUGGGCGCAAGCCUGAUCCAGCAAUGCCGCGUGCAGGAAGAAGGCCUUCGGGUUGUAAACUGCUUUUGUACGGAACGAAACGGUCCUGGCUAAUAUCCGGGGCUAAUGACGGUACCGUAAGAAUAAGCACCGGCUAACUACGUGCCAGCAGCCGCGGUAAUACGUAGGGUGCGAGCGUUAAUCGGAAUUACUGGGCGUAAAGCGUGCGCAGGCGGUGCUGUAAGACAGGCGUGAAAUCCCCGGGCUCAACCUGGGAACUGCAUUUGUGACUGCAUCGCUGGAGUGCGGCAGAGGGGGAUGGAAUUCCGCGUGUAGCAGUGAAAUGCGUAGAUAUGCGGAGGAACACCGAUGGCGAAGGCAAUCCCCUGGGCCUGCACUGACGCUCAUGCACGAAAGCGUGGGGAGCAAACAGGAUUAGAUACCCGGGUAGUCC